rnacentral:lncRNA from 1 species
UUUAAAAAGUUGUUUUCUGUGUUUCCGCAUCAUAUUUCCAGGAAAAAGAAACUGAAAACUACAUAUGCAGGGUGGUGCCAUUACUCUUCUGUCUGUGACCAAGGAUGUAAGCUGAUGAUCUCCAUGCUAUUCUGCUGUGACUCUGUCACUCCUGACCUGACCUUCAGGAUACACUGAGAGUAUUCUGAGUCCUUCCACAGUGUCUCACACUAGUACUACAGGACUUUACCUACCUCAGAGAUGGAGUCACCAGAACUGCAGGGGACUGCAACAGCUAUGGGAAGAGUCUUGGAAUGAAUAAUGUUCAACCACAUACUUACAUUGUAAGUUUUCCUAAAUGCCAGGCUAAGCUCCAAUUUUUGGAAUGGACCAGAGAAAAUUUUAAAACCUGA